ASASUUUGAUCCUGGCUCAGAGCGAACGUUAGCGGCGCGCCUAACACAUGCAAGUCGCACGAGAAACGGAGCAAUCCGCGGUACAGUGGCGCACGGGUGAGUAACACGUGGAUGACCUUCCCUGGAGUGGUGGAUAACCUGCCGAAAGGCGGGCUAAUACAGCAUGGGACCACGACGCUUUGGCGAUGUGGUGAAAGCGGGCCUCUAUAUAUAAGCUCGCGCUCCGGGACGGGUCCGCGUCCCAUCAGCUAGUUGGUGRGGUAACGGCUCACCAAGGCAACGACGGGUAGCUGGUCUGAGAGGAUGGCCAGCCACACUGGAACUGAGACACGGUCCAGACUCCUACGGGAGGCAGCAGUGGGGAAUCUUGCGCAAURGGCGAAAGCCUGACGCAGCGACGCCGCGUGGGCGAAGAAGGCCUUCGGGUUGUAAAGCCCUGUGGGGGAGAACGAACCGUACGGGGGCGAAYACCCUCCGUGCCUGACGGUACUCCUUUAGCAAGCAUCGGCUAACUCUGUGCCAGCAGCCGCGGURAGACAGAGGAUGCAAACGUUGCUCGGAAUUACUGGGCGUAAAGCGCGUGUAGGCGGUCUGGUAAGUCGGACGUGAAAUCCCGGGGCUCAACCCCGGAAGUGCGCUCGAUACUGCCGGACUUGGGUUCUGAAGAGGAGAGCGGAAUUCCCGGUGUAGAGGUGAAAUUCGUAGAUAUCGGGAGGAACACCAGUGGCGAAGGCGGCUCUCUGGGCAGAUACCGACGCUGAGACGCGAAAGCGUGGGAAGCAAACAGGAUUAGAUACCCUGGUAGUCC
rnacentral:rRNA from 1 species